GAAAUGCGAUAAGUAAUGUGAAUUGCAGAAUUCCGUGAAUCAUCGAAUCUUUGAACGCACAUUGCGCCCUCUGGCAUUCCGGGGGGCAUGCCUGUCCGAGCGUCAUUACGCACCCUCAAGCCCGGCUUGUGUGAUGGGCCCUGGCGUCUCGUUCGCGAGACGGGCCCGAAAGGCAGCGGCGGCGUCGACCCGAUGAGCCCGAGCGUAUGGGGACUUUCGUCACACGUUUGCGGUGCGGACCGGCGCCUGCUUGACUUUUCUGAUUAUCCAGGUUGACCUCGGAUCAGGUAGGGAUACCCGCUGAACUUAAGC
rnacentral:misc_RNA from 1 species